AGGGAUCAUUACAAGUGACCCCGGCUACGGCCGGGAUGUUCAUAACCCUUUGUUGUCCGACUCUGUUGCCUCCGGGGCGACCCUGCCUUCGGGCGGGGGCUCCGGGUGGACACUUCAAACUCUUGCGUAACUUUGCAGUCUGAGUAAACUUAAUUAAUAAAUUAAAACUUUUAACAACGGAUCUCUUGGUUCUGGCAUCGAUGAAGAACGCAGCGAAAUGCGAUAAGUAAUGUGAAUUGCAGAAUUCAGUGAAUCAUCGAAUCUUUGAACGCACAUUGCGCCCCCUGGUAUUCCGGGGGGCAUGCCUGUUCGAGCGUCAUUUCACCACUCAAGCCUCGCUUGGUAUUGGGCAACGCGGUCCGCCGCGUGCCUCAAAUCGUCCGGCUGGGUCUUCUGUCCCCUAAGCGUUGUGGAAACUAUUCGCUAAAGGGUGUUCGGGAGGCUACGCCGUAAAACAACCCCAUUUCUAAGGUUGACCUCGGAUCAGGUAGGGAUACCCGCUGAACUUAA
rnacentral:rRNA from 1 species